rnacentral:sRNA from 1 species
AUGGCUGUCGUCAGCUCGUGUCGUGAGAUGUUGGGUUAAGUCCCGCAACGAGCGCAACCCUCAUCUUUAGUUGCCACCAGUUCGGCUGGGCACUCUAGAGAAACUGCCUGGGAUGACCAGGAGGAAGGCGAGGAUGACGUCAAGUCCUCAUGGCCCUUAUGGGCUGGGCUACACACGUGCUACAAUGGCGGUGACAAAGGGACGCAAUAGGGCAACCUGGAGCAAAUCCCAAAAAACCGUCUCAGUUCGGAUUGUUCUCUGCAACUCGAGAGCAUGAAGUUGGAAUCGCUAGUAAUCGUAGAUCAGCAUGCUACGGUGAAUACGUUCCCGGGCCUUGUACACACCGCCCGUCACACCAUGGGAGUUGGUUUUACCCGAAGACGGUAUCCUAACCUUUUUGGAGGGAGCCGGCCACGGUAGGGUCAGCGACUGGGGUGAAGUCGUAACAAGGUAGCCGUAGGGGAACCUGCGGCUGGAUCACCUCCUUUCUAAGGAAAGUAUAAGAUAUAAAUUGCCGCCGUCUUUGAAUCUCUUCUUCUUAAACUUAAUUUUUAUAGGUUUGCUACAGCUAUAGGCGCGUAGCUCAGCUGGUUAGAGCGCACGACUGAUAAUCGUGAGGUCGGCAGUUCAAAUCUGCCCGUGCCUACCACUGCUUAUACAAAGAUUAUUUUGAGAUAAUAUUAAUAAAGUAGAGAAAAUUUUUUGACAUUAGUGUCAAUCUGUUUGAAAUAGUUGGUGAAGAUGAUCCCAAAUAAUAGGGCAAUAUAAUAAGUGUUGUAUUGUCCAGCUUACGGAUUGUACUUAGUAUUAUAUACCUCAAGAUUAUAUAAUACUAGAAUAGUGAUGGUUGUCUGACCGGUUACUAUUUUCAUGUACGGUCCGAUCAAGCGUCUUGAAGAGCAUUUGGUGGAUGCCUUGGUACAGAGAGGCGAUGAAGGACGUGACACGCUGCGAUAAGCUGUGGGGAGCCGUGAGUAGGCUUUGAUCCGCAGAUUUCCGAAUGGGGAAACCCGG